rnacentral:rRNA from 1 species
UACGUAGGGGGCUAGCGUUGUCCGGAUUUAUUGGGCGUAAAGAGCGCGUAGGCGGCUAGGUAAGUCCGACGUGAAAUCUGGAGGCUCAACCUCCAGCGGUCGUUGGAAACUACUUGGCUAGAGUCCGGAAGAGGAGAGUGGAAUUCCUGGUGUAGCGGUGAAAUGCGCAGAUAUCAGGAAGAACACCCGUGGCGAAAGCGGCUCUCUGGGACGGUACUGACGCUGAGACGCGAAAGCGUGGGGAGCGAACAGG